rnacentral:tRNA from 1 species
AAUUAGAAAGCGAAUAUUUGCACUUAGUUUCGACCUAAGCUUUGACUAAAAUAGUCUCUAAUUU